GUGGUCCUACGGGGCGCAGCAGUGAGGAAUAUUGGUCAAUGGGCGCGAGCCUGAACCAGCCAAGUCGCGUGAGGGAGGACGGCCCUACGGGUUGUAAACCUCUUUUGCCGGGGAGCAACGGGCGUCACGUGUGGCGCCACUGAGAGUACCCGGAGAAAAAGCAUCGGCUAACUCCGUGCCAGCAGCCGCGGUAAUACGUAGGGGGCAAGCGUUAUCCGGAUUUACUGGGUGUAAAGGGAGCGUAGACGGCCAGACAAGUCAGAAGUGAAAGCCCAGGGCUCAACCCUGGGACUGCUUUUGAAACU
rnacentral:rRNA from 1 species